CGAAAAAUUACGAAAUGCAGGGAGUAACGGCGAGCGAUCUUUACACGAACGGGGCGAACGAGCCGCACUGACACGAUGGAUAAGAUCCACGGAUUCCAUGUCCCACCGCGUCGAUCAGUGGUGGUUUUACCAUAAAUAUAGACAUGCAUUUGUUGCACGAUUUGUCUCGUGGUGUCGCAUGGAGAAAAUACGCCGUGUUCGGCGGAGGAGGACGAGAUAUCAGUAGUGUAGUGGAAUAUACAUCCGUACGAUCCGUACGAGAGACUACCGGCGGAUGGUACGAAUUUUUUCUCCCUAUUCGGACAUCACGAUCGAAAAAUUCGAGAAUAUCGAGGGUGGGUAAUGGAUUGAACGCAGGAAAAGCAAGCUGCGUCGACUCGAUCGAUACUGUUACCGUGUGAUGCGGAGGUUUCCACCAUUCUCGUACCCGAGAGAAUUGCACGGAGAGAAUUAAAUUUGAAAAAUUACCGUGAGCAACGAUAGUGCGCGGUGACGAGCUGAAAUUCAUGAUAUUUUAUUAUGGAAAAAAAAUUGAUUUUUUCUAUAAAUUAAAUAACAUUUCUUGUUCCAAGUGGGAACUUUUACCGGAGUAUAUUCAGUAAGUUCUCUAUUUGCAAUAUUUACUACUGUUAUAAAACUGAAAUUUCGCAAAAUAUGAAAAAUUUUACAACGCGUUACAGGAAUUAAUACUCUUCGUUAUCUUGUCCUCGCAGUCAAAUAUAACAUGGUAAAUUUUACAGUGAAUUUCACGCUAAAAUAAUUAUCGUUCAAUUCUCUCCGCGAGGCUUCGAUGAACUUGAAUAUUUUUUGACACAGUUUGACCAAAUAUUAAAAAAUCCUCUGUCAGCCCGCACAGCGCGAUGGCAAAAAUGGGCUGACAUUUGUAUUAUUUCGAUUGGGCGAGAACAGUGUGGAAAAAUUUUUUUAUAUGAGUACGAAGAGAUAAAUGAGGAAGAAU